AAUGGGGGCAACCCUGAUCUAGCCAUGCCGCGUGAGUGAUGAAGGCCUUAGGGUCGUAAAGCUCUUUCGCCUGUGAUGAUAAUGACAGUAGCAGGUAAAGAAACCCCGGCUAACUCCGUGCCAGCAGCCGCGGUAAUACGGAGGGGGUUAGCGUUGUUCGGAAUUACUGGGCGUAAAGCGCGCGUAGGCGGAUUAGAAAGUUGGGGGUGAAAUCCCGGGGCUCAACCCCGGAACUGCCUCCAAAACUGCUAGUCUAGAGUUCGAGAGAGGUGAGUGGAAUUCCGAGUGUAGAGGUGAAAUUCGUAGAUAUUCGGAGGAACACCAGUGGCGAAGGCGGCUCACUGGCUCGAUACUGACGCUGAGGCGCGAAAGUGUGGGGAGCAAACAGGAUU
rnacentral:rRNA from 1 species